AUUGAACGCUGGCGGCAUGCCUUACACAUGCAAGUCGAACGGUAACAGGUCUUCGGAUGCUGACGAGUAGCGAACGGGUGAGUAAUACAUCGGAACGUGCCCGAUCGUGGGGGAUAACGGAGCGAAAGCUUUGCUAAUACCGCAUACGAUCUACGGAUGAAAGCAGGGGACCGCAAGGCCUUGCGCGGACGGAGCGGCCGAUGGCAGAUUAGGUAGUUGGUGGGAUAAAAGCUUACCAAGCCGACGAUCUGUAGCUGGUCUGAGAGGACGACCAGCCACACUGGGACUGAGACACGGCCCAGACUCCUACGGGAGGCAGCAGUGGGGAAUUUUGGACAAUGGGCGAAAGCCUGAUCCAGCCAUGCCGCGUGCAGGAUGAAGGCCUUCGGGUUGUAAACUGCUUUUGUACGGAACGAAAAGACUCUUUCUAAUAAAGAGGGUCCAUGACGGUACCGUAAGAAUAAGCACCGGCUAACUACGUG
rnacentral:rRNA from 1 species